GAGGCCUGUUUUUGAGGUUUAGGUCGGUGCCCACUUGAAGUGAUGAGGCCUGUUUUUGAGGUUUAGGUCGGUGCCCGCUUGAAGCGAUGAGGCCUGUUUUUGAGGUUUAGGUCGGUGCCCGCUUGAAGCGAUGAGGCCUGUUUUUGAGGUUUAGGUUGGUGCCCGCUUGAAGCGAUGAGGCCUGUUUUUGAGGUUUAGGUCGGUGCCCGCUUGAAGCGAUGAGGCCUGUUUUUGAGGUUUAGGUCGGUGCCCGCUUGAAGCGAUGAGGCCUGUUUUUGAGGUUUAGGUCGGUGCCCGCUUGAAGCGAUGAGGCCUGUUUUUGAGGUUUAGGUCGGUGCCCGCUUGAAGCGAUGAGGCCUGUUUUUGAGGUUUAGGUUGGUGCCCACUUGAAGCGAUGAGGCCUGUUUUUGAGGUUUAGGUCGGUGCCCACUUGAAGUGAUGAGGCCUGUUUUU